UCAUCCGUCCGCUCUACUGCGCGGUUGUUACCGGACUGAGGAACUCGGCUAGCCGAUUUUAGAUUGGUUGUUUAUUGCACGCAAUGCGAGAUCUGUAGGAACGUUGGUAAACAGUGAAAUUACAUCUUAAGAUAUUAACGUGUAAUUGUCCGGGAUAAUCAAUGUUUUAAUUUUAUCAACUAAUAAAAAGCUAUCCUUAACUCUCGAGAUGGGAGGUGUGAUAUUGGUGGGACAUCCUCUUUGUGAAUUUUUGGAAGCCCAUAUGCGCGUGGAGGGACACUAUUGUACGUAGAACCUGGCACUCAUAUACAACAUACUAAGAUGGAAUGAUUACCCUCAUGGCCUAUUUACAACAACAAAUUAAUAAGAGACGUACCUACAUCAACAACAUACUUGACCAUAAUAUUGACUCUGCUCCCGCUGAAGAUAGCAAUAGACCUGCUACUACAUAUAUCCCCAUUCCAUAUGUAGCCGGCCUCUUUGAGUCACUUAAUCGUUUAUUCGCCAAAUAUAAUGUAAAGUUUGUUGGAAAAAAUUCAAAAGAUCUACAACUAGUUUUUGAUACAGGCAAAGACAAGAUCCCCAUAGGCAAACGAUCUAAUGUCGUGUAUAAAAUACCAUGCAAUGACUGCAAUCAAGUCUACAUAGGUCAAACGGGUCGACAUCUCAACACUAGAAUUAGGGAACACCAACGCAACAUACAUGAGAUUGAAGAACGGCACACAGCUCUAACGAAACAUAUUAUCGAUAAACAACACACUUUUAAUUACGACAACACAAACAUCCUUUGCGAAGAACACAAUUAUUAUAGAAGACUGUUAUUAGAAAUGUGCAACAUUGUAGGUCAUACCAAUUCUGUUAAUCUUAGACAAGAUGUUGAACAUUUAAGCAAUAUUUACAAACCUCUAAUCUCCGCCCACACAACAAAUUUUGUUUAACCUUAACUACAUACAAAAAAUUAUUUUGUCCCCAUUUACAGUCCUUUCUACAUAACUU
rnacentral:lncRNA from 1 species